rnacentral:rRNA from 1 species
UACAGAGGGUGCGAGCGUUAAUCGGAUUUACUGGGCGUAAAGCGCGCGUAGGUGGUUAAUUAAGUCAGAUGUGAAAUUUCAGUGCUCAACAUUGAAACUGCAUCUGAAACUGAUGAGCUAGAGUGCAGGAGAGGAAAACGGAAUUCCUAGUGUAGCGGUGAAAUGCGUAGAUAUUAGGAGGAACACCAGUGGCGAAGGCGGUUUUCUGGACUGUAACUGACGUUGAGGAGCGAAAGUGUGGGGAGCAAACAGG